GGUGAGAUGGCCGAGCGGUCUAAGGCGCCAGACUAAGGAGACCAACGUAUAUUGAUACGUGAACCACAUACAAUCUGGUCACAUUGUGGCGUGGGUUCGAAUCCCACUCUCAUCA
rnacentral:tRNA from 1 species